rnacentral:rRNA from 1 species
UGGGGAAUAUUGCACAAUGGAGGGAACUCUGAUGCAGCGACGCCGCGUGAACGAAGAAGGCUUUCGAGUCGUGAAGUUCUUUUAUAUGGGAAGAUAAUGACGGUACCAUAAGAAAAAGCCCCGGCUAACUACGUGCCAGCAGCCGCGGUAAUACGUAGGGGGCUAGCGUUGUCCGGAAUCACUGGGCGUAAAGGGUUCGCAGGCGGAAAUGCAAGUCAGGUGUAAAAGGCAGUAGCUUAACUACUGUAAGCAUUUGAAACUGCAUAUCUUGAGAAGAGUAGAGGUAAGUGGAAUUUUUAGUGUAGCGGUGAAAUGCGUAGAUAUUAAAAAGAAUACCGGUGGCGAAGGCGACUUACUGGGCUCAUUCUGACGCUGAGGAACGAAAGCGUGGGUAGCAAACAGG